ACCUGUGGAUUCACUCUGGGACAAUUGAUGCUUUGAUGAAAUAGGGGGAAAUUAUAUAAAAAUACAACUCAAGGGAUAUUAAAUAGCAAAAUUUGUUUCUGGCAUCCAGGGUUAUUUGGCAAAGAAAGAGCAAACAAGUGACUGUUUUUCAUGCCUUUCAUAUGAUGACAAACCUAUUCUAUUCUGCUUUGCACUUAAAAUUUACAUUGAAAAUGCAAUUGAACCUUUGGUUUAGUAGUUCAGUACGCUACAGGUAACCAGGGAGCAAUGUUCAGUAAAUACCGUGCUACUAGAUGCAAAACAAUACAGAGAAAAUGAGGCUAUUUAGCUCUCUUUCUUGAUUGAGAUUUGCAUGAAGAAAUUUCGAAAUAUUUAAGUUUCAGCGUAGCACUUAGAGUGUCACUUCUCUUCCGCCUCUUUAUAGGUUAUAUUUUUAAUUUUUAAUAACGCAAAAUGUGUAUACAGCCUGAUGCAAUCAGAAAGGCAUCUUAGAAGGGUAAAAAGAGGAGGAUGACUCACUAAUAAACAGUCAUUUAUAGAAUAUAAUUAGUUUUUCUCUUUUCUUCAUUAGCACAUGCAACCUGCUAGAGGAAUGAGUCUAAGGGUAAUUGUAGGACUCCAGGGUUUUCACACUCAGAGGUAGCAUAAUAUAUAAAACUGAAGUAAUUAGGAGCUACGUCAAAAAUGUCAUCUUUCUUAUGUGUAAAAACUAGGCAUUUUGUAGCAAAA
rnacentral:lncRNA from 1 species